rnacentral:rRNA from 1 species
AGCUGAAAUCAGUCGAAGAACCAGCUGGCUGCAACUGUUUAUUAAAACACAGCACUGUGCAAACACGAAAGUGGACGUAUACGGUGUGACGCCUGCCCGGUGCCGGAAGGUUAAUUGAUGGGGUUAUCCGUAAGGAGAAGCUCUUGAUCGAAGCCCCGGUAAACGGCGGCCGUAACUAUAACGGUCCUAAGGUAGCGAAAUUCCUUGUCGGGUAAGUUCCGACCUGCACGAAUGGCGUAAUGAUGGCCAGGCUGUCUCCACCCGAGACUCAGUGAAAUUGAACUCGCUGUGAAGAUGCAGUGUACCCGCGGCAAGACGGAAAGACCCCGUGAACCUUUACUAUAGCUUGACACUGAACACUGGUCCUUGAUGUGUAGGAUAGGUGGGAGGCUUUGAAGUGUGGACGCCAGUCUGCAUGGAGCCAUCCUUGAAAUACCACCCUUUAAUGGCUGGUGUUCUAACGUGGGCCCCUAAUCGGGGUUGCGGACAGUGUCUGGUGGGUAGUUUGACUGGGGCGGUCUCCUCCCUAAAGAGUAACGGAGGAGCACGAAGGUCAGCUAAUCCUGGUCGGACAUCAGGAGGUUAGUGCAAUGGCAUAAGCUGGCUUGACUGCGAGCGUGACGGCGCGAGCAGGUGCGAAAGCAGGUCAUAGUGAUCCGGUGGUUCUGAAUGGAAGGGCCAUCGCUCAACGGAUAAAAGGUACUCCGGGGAUAACAGGCUGAUACCGCCCAAGAGUUCAUAUCGACGGCGGUGUUUGGCACCUCGAUGUCGGCUCAUCACAUCCUGGGGCUGAAGUAGGUCCCAAGGGUAUGGCUGUUCGCCAUUUAAAGUGGUACGCGAGCUGGGUUUAGAACGUCGUGAGACAGUUCGGUCCCUAUCUGCCGUGGGCGCUGGAGAAUUGAGGGGGGCUGCUCCUAGUACGAGAGGACCGGAGUGGACGCAUCACUGGUGUUCGGGUUGUCAUGCCAAUGGCAUUGCCCGGUAGCUAAAUGCGGAAGAGAUAAGUGCUGAAAGCAUCUAAGCACGAAACUUGCCCCGAGAUGAGUUCUCCCUGACUCCUUGAGAGUCCUGAAGGAACGUUGAAGACGACGACGUUGAUAGGCCGGGUGUGUAAGCGCAGCGAUGCGUUGAGCUAACCGGUACUAAUGAACCGUGAGGCUUAACCUU